rnacentral:rRNA from 1 species
CCGUAAUUUUUUGGGGUAAUUGGAUUUUAAGCCCCUUUUUUCAAUCUUUUGGAAGGCCCCCCCCACGCCCGGGGAGCUUCAUUUUAAAAUCGGAACGCCCCAGGCAGAAGAAGUAAGUGGAGUUCCACGCUAGCGGGGAAGAACUUCCGCUGGUGCUGAACAGCAGUGGUGAAGGCGGGUCUCUCGUCAGUAACUGACGCUGAUGAGCGAGAGCGUGGUGAGAGGACACGAUUAGAUACCGUGUUAGUGCGUGCCGUAAACGAUGAGUGUUAAGUCUUAGGGGGUUUCCGUCCCUUAGUGCUGCAGGUAAUGCAUUAAGCAUUCCGCCUGGGGAGUACGGUCGCCAGACUGAAACUCAAGGGAAUUGACGGGGGCCCGCACAAGCGGUGGAGCAUGUGGUUUAAUUCGAAUCAACGCGAAGAACCUUACCAGGUCUUGACAUCCUCUGACAACCCUAGAGAUAGGGCUUUCCCUUCGGGGACAGAGUGACAGGUGGUGCAUGGUAGUCGUCAGCUCGUGUCGUGAGAUGUUGGGUUAAGUCCCGCAACGAGCGCAACCCUUGAUNUUAGUUGCCAGCAUUCAGUUGGGCACUCUAAGGUGACUGCCGGUGACAAACCGGAGGAAGGUGGGGAUGACGUCAAAUCAUCAUGCCCCUUAUGACCUGGGCUACACACGUGCUACAAUGGACAGAACAAAGGGCUGCAAGACCGCAAGGUUUAGCCAAUCCCAUAAAUCUGUUCUCAGUUCGGAUCGCAGUCUGCAACUCGACUGCGUGAAGCUGGAAUCGCUAGUAAUCGCGGAUCAGCAUGCCGCGGUGAAUACGUUCCCGGGCCUUGUACACACCGCCCGUCACACCAGGAGAGUUUGCAACACCCGAAGUCGGUGAGGUAACCUUUAUGGAGGCCAGCCGCCGAAGGUGGGGCAGAUGAUUGGGGUGAAGUCGAACAAGGAGCCGUCGAG